CUACGGGGCGCUGCAGUGAGGAAUAUUGCACAAUGGGGGGAACCCUGAUGCAGCAACGCCGCGUGGAGGAUGACGCAUUUCGGUGUGUAAACUCCUUUUAUAUGUCAAGAAAAUGACGGUAGCAUAUGAAUAAGCACCGGCUAACUCCGUGCCAGCAGCCGCGGUAAUAUGGAGGGUGCAAGCGUUACUCGGAAUCACUGGGCGUAAAGGACGCGUAGGCGGGUUGGAAAGUCAGGUGUGAAAUCCUACAGCUUAACUGUAGAACUGCACUUGAAACUUCUAAUCUAGAGUAUGGGAGGGGGAGAUGGAAUUAGUGGUGUAGGGGUAAGAUCCGUAGAUAUCACUAGGAACACCUAAAGCGAAGGCGAUCUCCUGGAACAUUACUGACGCUAAGGCGUGAAAGCGUGGGGAGCAAACAGGAUUAGAUACCCCAGUAGUC
rnacentral:rRNA from 1 species